rnacentral:lncRNA from 1 species
UCACCUGGACACUGUCAUUUCUGCAUGUGACGUCUGGAACCUAUGUAUUCAUCUUGGGACUUAAAAGAAUUAAGGAGAGGACAGAGCUGAUCUAUUGUAAAUGAUGACAUGCAACUGGGGAAUGCUUUGUCCCUUGCGUUGUUUCAGAGUUACUGAAUUACCGACUUGGAGGGGCUCCAAUUUUGUUUUCUCUUGGAAACUGGAUCUGACUCCCAUAAAGAAGCCCAUGCUAACCUGCUAAAGAAUAAGACCAUACGGAAGAAAGAUGAGUUGUUUAACUGGGGCCAUUCUGGACUAUCCAGCCUACAGCAAACCCGCCAGCUGACUGUAGAUGCGGGAGCAAACCCAGCCAAGAUCAGCCAAGAUCAGCCAAUCCCAGCAAAGACAAGAAGAACAUCCUAGGUGGCCAAUAAACUUUUGAUCAAA